AAGAGCUUAUGAGUUCCAAGAAAUCUAAGCGUCUUUUCUCGCUUCUUCGGAGUCAACAAACUUUUAAUCUCGACCCUAUUACCUUGGCUAUUAUCUGUUCUAUCCAAGUCGGUGAGUGUUUCUUACACUGGAUUAAGUGGUUGAGAUACCGCCAUGUCGAGGAUUCACGCUUUUCACUUUCAAACGACGUUUCUUCAGAGCAGUAUCGAGAGGAAAAUAUAACAUCGCGAAAUCAAGAAAAUCAAGGAAGGAUGGAGUAACAUGACAACUUUUAGCAAGGACCAUAAUGCUUCAAGCUCGAAUCAAUCAAGAAAGACUCUUAUCCACGUCUGGGGCAAGAUUCAUUUGGAAGUACAAAACAGAUUUAUAGCACUUUUUCUAACAACAA